AAUCAUGCCAGAGGGAGGGACAGUGAAAGAGACAGAGAAGACAAGCUGAGGAAUCUGCUGUUCAAUCCUGCUGGGAGGUGGUGGCCUGGGGAAUGGGCUCAAUGUUUUGCUUGAACCAAUAUGGCACAUACAGUGCACGGAAGUUGUCUUAGGGGCAGAAGCUCUGAUAGCCUGAUCUGUUCCGUGACUCCCCGUAUUCUGCCACGGGUGUCUUCUAGCGGCAGGCACCCUAGUGGCUUUUUAAUGCCUGACCCAUGCCAACACAAUGUUGAUUUGCCUAGUCCUCGGUUGGAAAGGAGUCAAAAAGAGAGCCCCUCACCCAUUUGGGUGGCAACUACUGGGGCACAGUGAGCAGCGGGCCUUUGGGACACACCAGAGGGUAACCCUGGCCGGAGUUCCUCAGUUGCUUCCACAGCCACUCGCCUGUUCGCAGAGGGCCCAAGGAAAAAGACAAGAGGAGAGGAGACUGGGGGAGAGCCCCCGAGAGCAAUCCCCACAUAGGCCACCAAAUGUUGAGGCGGUGUGAGCCUGGGUUGGGAAAGAAUUUACAGACACAGAGCACUUCGGAAGGGACUGAGUUUCUUAAGAACAAAGAGCAGGGAUAGAGUGGGCACUGCGAUCAUAGCUGGCUGUCAACUCCUGACAGUCAGGAGAGUUGACAGUGUUCAUGAGUUAACAGCCAACUUGUAUAUCCUCAAGACAUAAAAAUUCCUGCUAGAAGGUUGGCGUUAGGUGACUGGUUGGGAUGCUAUGGGGUGUUUACUGGAGUGGGCACCUUUGCUUAAUUGGGAGUCAGGAGGGUUGUUGGUGAUUAUCAGGGGCUUUUGACCAGGCUACAGAGGGGUUCAGGCCGCUUUGGUGGAGACCUUGGUUCUGCGCUCGCUUCUGCAGCCUUGGUGCAAGACCUCACACACGUGGCCUGGGGCAGGACUCAACAAGUUCCUCUUUUUAAAUAUUUGUUUAUGCAUUUGGCUGUGGUGGGUCUUAGUUGUGGCACACAGGCUCUAAAGCUCGCAGGCUCAGUAGUUGCAGCUCACAAGCUUAGUUGCUCCCACCUGUGGGAUCUUAGUUUCUCGACCAGGGAUGGAACCCACGUCCCCUGCAUUGCAAGACUGAUCCUCAACCACUGGACCACCAAGGAAGUCCCACAAAGGAAGUUCUUGAUGGACCUCGGAGUGUCCCAUUAAUGCCUAAUCUCAAUGUUAAUUCUGAACGGCGUCUUACCCCAGAGAGGGCUGAGAGCCUUUUCUGCCUGCUGUUCCACUCCCCACUGGAAUCACCUGGAUAAUUGCCAGCAGUCGUCCUUAGUCAGGGAUUUCCCAGGUGGUGGAGUGGUGAAGAGUCCACCUGCCAAUGGAAGGAAACUCAAGAGAUGUGGUUUCGAUCCUGGAUCAAGAAGCUCCCCUAGAGGAGGGAAUGGCCGCCCACGCCAGUUUCCUUGCCUGGGAAAUCCGGUGGACAGAGGAGCCUGAUGGGCCAAGUCCAUGGGGUCACAUGGACAGAGGAGCCUGGCAGGCUACUUUGUGUCAGACACACACUCACACACGCUCUGCCUGUCUCUGUCUCUCUCUGUCUCUUCGUGUGUCUCUCACUGUAUCUCUCUGUCCCUCUGUCUCUUUCUCUGUGUGUGUCUCUCAAUGUAUCUCUCCCUGUCUCUCUCUCUCUCUGUCUCACUCUGUCUCCCUGUCUCUCUCCCUCUGUCUUUCUCUUCUGAUCUGAGUAGGGGGAGGAUUGUGCCCAGGAAAACAUUCGCUUCUCAUUGGAGACGCAGCAGAUGCUCCCUGCAGACGCAGACGGUGUCUCUGAUGCUGCAGCUGGUGUGGUGAUGGCGUCUCUGUGGGCAGAGCGGGUCUCAGGACCCUGUCCCUGUAACUAUAGACUCAGGAGCCCCUGGUCCAUCCUGCGUAACUCUUACCUGCACAGAACUCUGGAGCAAAGAGCAGUCAGGGGAGUGCUUCUUUAUGCUCCAUCUCUGAGCAAAAAACAGAGGGGGUCUCCAAUAGGAGAGAACCCUGGAGCUGUGUUUGUGCACUGACAUUGUUCAGGACACGUGCUGACCCUGCCAGCUGACCACACCCCGGCUCCGGCUGGAUGGAGGGGUGAUUGGGCAGCAGAGAGUGGGGUUUCCAGUGGGGCUUUACUGAGCAAAAAUUCAAGUGAGGUUGUUUUUGGCUAACAUUUUAUGGGAUUUAUUUUAUGGGAUUUAUGGGAUAACAUUUUAUGAGUUUUAUGGGAUUUAUUGAAGGUACCAUAUAAAACCUGGCUUUCUGGAAUCCCUGAGAAUUUGCAGGUAUUCAUAAUUCAGAGGAGAGCUCAGAACGAAUAAAUGUCUAUAUUUCCUCUGUCUGUCGUGGGAGAUGCUGGGGAGGAGAAGGUGGGGAGGCGCCCUGUGUGCAGACGCUGAGGGGGGAGCAUCCGUGGUAAGGAGAGCAGAGCUCACCCUCACACGGCUCUCAGUGUGUUAGGAAGACAAUGGACAAAGGGGUAACAAACAAAACAAAGUAUGAAUUUUGUUUUGAGAGGAACAGAGCGGCUUGGUCCUGCUGAUUGAGGAUGACCAGCAGCUGUGUCCGGGCAGGGAAAUUAAUUCAACCGGAUCUAGAGAGGAAGGGAAGCCAGGAUGGAAGUGAGCUGCUGAAAGUCUUAGGUGCCUGACGGAAGCUUGCCCUCCCCCGUGUCCCUACCAGUGAUUCUUUUCCCAUAUCGGUUCCUUCCAAUGUGUUCAGUAGACUUCUGUGUGCUAUUCACUAGGUCCUUUUGGAGUAUCUGUUUGAUAAGUACUAUGUAUAUGUUGGGAGGGAUUGGGGGCAGGAGGAGAAGGGGACAACAGAGGAUGAGAUGGCUGGAUGGCAUCAUCGACUCGAUGGACAUGAGUUUGAGUAAACUCCGGGAGUUGGUGAUGGACAGGGAGGCCUGGCGUGCUGCGAUUCGUGGGGUGGCAAAGAGUUGGACACGACUGAGCGACUGAACUGAACUGAACUGAUGUAUAUGUUAAUCCCAAUAUCUUAAUGUCUCCCUUCCCCUACCUUUUUAAAAAAUAAUCAUAAGGGGUUUUCUAAGUCUGUGUGUUUCUGUUUAUAAAUUAGUUCAUUUGAAUAAAAUUAUAGAUGCCACCUGUAAGUGACAAGACAUUUCUCUUUCCCUCUCUGACAGACUUCACCCAAUAUGAUAAAUCUCUUGGUCCAUCCAUGCUGCGGUCAAUGGCAUAUUUUUGUUCUUUUUCACGGCUGAGUGUAUUCCAGUAUAUGGAGGACUAGUUACUCUUCAUUUCUCUA